rnacentral:tRNA from 1 species
AGGGAUGUAGCUCAGUGGUAGAGCGCAUGCUUUGCAUGCAUGAGGUCCUGUGUUCAAUCCCCUGCAUCUCCA